GAACGAGUAACCCGAUUACCCAAA
rnacentral:siRNA from 1 species